rnacentral:pre_miRNA from 1 species
CCAGUACUCCCUUCGUCUGAAAAAGCUUGUCCCUUAAAUGGAUGUAUUUUAUACCAAAUUAGUGUUAGAUAUAUCAAUUUGAGAAACAAUCUUAGGACAAGCUUUUCAGACGGAGGAAGUACAUC